GAAGUUGGUAACAAAAAUGCCACCACAGGUUGGGAGAAGACAAUCGAAACAAAAGCCCCUGAGAACCAGAAGAUCCACUGAUUAUCCAGUUCUUCUUAUAAACCAAGAUUAUCUUUAAAAAUCAUGAGAAAAAUACAGUUCAUUAUUUUGAAUGUACUAUAUUAGACAUCUUAUUCUCCAUUUCUGUUUCAAUCAUCAUAUUUUCUUCAAAAUGCAGCUCCAGCAAAUGUGGUUAAUGCUGGUGCAGGACAGGCUUUAACGACCAUUGAAACUACUGCCACCACCAAAAUUCAGUGGAUGCCUUCCUGAGUUGGGGUGAAACGGCAUCUUGAACUUUUCAAAUGACACGCAUCCCAGAUGUCAUCUCAAGGACAUGGACUUCUUUUGCAGCCUGUCCUACAUCCGUGGAAAUCAUGUCCUCUCCUGGAAAAAAGAGAAGAGUAUUAAUGAAAGCAAAAAUAGAAUCCUGGGGCAGAUGAUCUCUGAGCUUUAGUGAGGGGUUGACGUUAAUUAUGAGAACAAGACAACAGAUCUAGAGGACUUCAGUAAGUGAAAUUACAUAGGUAACUAUAGGCACUCUGACAUAGCCAGAAGUCACCAGGAGAGCCAAUGUUUCCCCAUAUUUUUAAGGAGUUUUCUGCAUCUACUAGUCUAUCCUGUGCUGUUUGUAUGGUUCCUGAAAUUCUGAAUUUCUUUCAGCCGAUGUAAAGCUCUGGUUACAUUGGGAGGGUCAGUGCUCUUAUUCCAAGUCUUUCCCCGGCUCACUGUAAACUUUGAGGGGAAAAGUAACAGAGGGACCAAGGUGCUUGCAGAUGCUGAUUCUUAGAAGUAUGUGAAAUAUAUUAUUAUUAGUUAGCAGUAGACAGAGCAAUAAAAUUACAGAGUGGUUAGAACCUGUAGUCAAAAUGUAGAAAUAAAGAGAAAGUCAGGAUUCAAAGCUCUGUUGUGAAGAAAC
rnacentral:lncRNA from 1 species